rnacentral:pre_miRNA from 2 species
CAAGUACUAGUCUCAGUAGAUUGAGGAGAGCACCACAGUGGUCACCACACAGUCCGCCGAGGUUGAAGCUGC